GAUGAACGCUGGCGGCGUGCCUAAUACAUGCAAGUCGAGCGAACGGACGAGAAGCUUGCUUCUCUGAUGUUAGCGGCGGACGGGUGAGUAACACGUGGAUAACCUACCUAUAAGACUGGGAUAACUUCGGGAAACCGGAGCUAAUACCGGAUGAUAUUUUGAACCGCAUGGUUCAAAAGUGAAAGACGGUCUUGCUGUCACUUAUAGAUGGAUCCGCGCUGCAUUAGCUAGUUGGUAAGGUAACGGCUUACCAAGGCAACGAUGCAUAGCCGACCUGAGAGGGUGAUCAGCCACACUGGAACUGAGACACGGUCCAGACUCCUACGGGAGGCAGCAGUGGGGAAUCUUCCGCAAUGGGCGAAAGCCUGACGGAGCAACGCCGCGUGAGUGAUGAAGGUCUUCGGAUCGUAAAGCUCUGUUAUUAGGGAAGAACAUAUGUGUAAGUAACUGUGCACAUCUUGACGGUACCUAAUCAGAAAGCCACGGCUAACUACGUG
rnacentral:rRNA from 1 species